rnacentral:lncRNA from 1 species
AGACAGGGUCUCGCUCUGCUGCUCAGGCUGGAGUGCAAUGGCGGGUGGAUCACCUGAGCUCGGGAGUUUGAGACUAGCCUGACCAAUAUGGUGAAACCCCAUUUCUACUAAAAAUACAAAAAUUAGCCAGGCGUGGUGGCGGGUGCCUGUAAUCCCAAGAAAUCAGGAGGCUGAGGAAGGAGAAUUGUUUGAACCUGGGAGGUGGAGACUGCAGUGAGCCGAGAUCCACCACUGCACUCCAGCCUGGGUGACAGAGGGAGACCCUGUCUCAAAAAAAUAAAAAUAAAAUAAACAAAUGAAUGGGUGGGUGACCACAGGAGAGAAGGAGCACAAGGCCAGGUUCUUUUUGUGCAGAAAGUGUGAUUCCUUCAUCAAGGUGUCCUCUUCCUAGCUUGUGAUCUUAGUUCAUGCCAAACUUUCCCUCUGACCCCUCCACCACCCUCAUCAGGAUAGACCUUGAGGCCUUCAGUGGUCUCAUCAGCCCUAUUUUUAAAUAAUUUGUUUUCUUUUUAAAAGUUAAUGUGUCUUUUUUUUUUUUUUUUUCUGAGACAGGGUCUCACUCCUGUCACCCAGGCUGGAUUGCAGUGGCGUGAUCGCAGCUCACUGCGGCCUCGACUUCCCAGGCUCAAGUGAUUCUCCCACCUCAGCUUCCUAAAUAGCUAGGACUACAGCUUCCCAAGUAGCUGGCACAUGCCGCCACAUCCAGCCAUUUUUUUUUUGUGUGUAUAUAUAUAGAUAGAUAGAUAGAUCCGCCACAUCCAGCCAUUUUUUUGUGUGUGUAUAUAUAGAUAGAGAGAGAGAGAGAGAGAGAGGGAGAUGGGGGUCUCACUAUGUGGCCCAUUCUGGUCUCAAACUCCUGGGUUCAAGCAAUCCACCUGCCUCGGCCUCCCAAAGUGCUGGGAUUACAGGCGUGAGCCAUCACAGCUGGCCUUCAGUAUCUGCACAUAAAAAGGGAUCUGCAUACAUAUAAUCUUAUCCUUCCCCUUUCUGACACAUCACUGCAUAUUGAAUACACCAGUGUGCACCCUAAUCAAUCUUCAUUACCAGUUCACUUGGAAGCCUUCCGGGCAGUGUUGUAGAAGCCAACCCUAAUCAGCGUGACCCUCCGCUUUGGGAUGAAAUUGAUUCUAGGUAGGGUUGACAGAGGGUUGAGCGUGGCAGCCUUUCCCCUUGUCCUCUGUGCCCUCUGGGUCAUGCUCAUUCCCCUCCACAGCCCAGCCCAACAACUCGGAGAGGGCUGCCUGGGUAGGAGAGACGGCAGCCCCCAGAGCUGUCCUGGACUCCCUUCUCAUCUCUCCCCACAGGCAAUUUCUAAACCGGGAUGACAUUGGCAUCAUCCUCAUCAACCAGUACAUCGC